rnacentral:tRNA from 1 species
GUGGGGUUGUGGCUCAGAGGUAGAGCGCUUGCCUAGUACGUGUGAGGCACUGGGUACGAUUCUAAGCACUACA